rnacentral:rRNA from 1 species
GAUAAACGCUGGCGGCGUGCCUAAUACAUGCAAGUCGAGCGAACGGACGAGAAGCUUGCUUCUCCGAUGUUAGCGGCGGACGGGUGAGUAACACGUGGAUAACCUACCUAUAAGACUGGGAUAACUUCGGGAAACCGGAGCUAAUACCGGAUAAUAUUUUGAACCGCAUGGUUCAAAAGUGAAAGACGGUCUUGCUGUCACUUAUAGAUGGAUCCGCGCUGCAUUAGCUAGUUGGUAAGGUAACGGCUUACCAAGGCAACGAUGCAUAGCCGACCUGAGAGGGUGAUCGGCCACACUGGAACUGAGACACGGUCCAGACUCCUACGGGAGGCAGCAGUAGGGAAUCUUCCGCAAUGGGCGAAAGCCUGACGGAGCAACGCCGCGUGAGUGAUGAAGGUCUUCGGAUCGUAAAACUCUGUUAUUAGGGAAGAACAUAUGUGUAAGUAACUGUGCACAUCUUGACGGUACCUAAUCAGAAAGCCACGGCUAACUACGUGCCAGCAGCCGCGGUAAUACGUAGGUGGCAAGCGUUAUCCGGAAUUAUUGGGCGUAAAGCGCGCGUAGGCGGUUUUUUAAGUCUGAUGUGAAAGCCCACGGCUCAACCGUGGAGGGUCAUUGGAAACUGGAAAACUUGAGUGCAGAAGAGGAAAGUGGAAUUCCAUGUGUAGCGGUGAAAUGCGCAGAGAUAUGGAGGAACACCAGUGGCGAAGGCGACUUUCUGGUCUGUAACUGACGCUGAUGUGCGAAAGCGUGGGGAUCAAACAGGAUUAGAUACCCUGGUAGUCCACGCCGUAAACGAUGAGUGCUAAGUGUUAGGGGGUUUCCGCCCCUUAGUGCUGCAGCUAACGCAUUAAGCACUCCGCCUGGGGAGUACGACCGCAAGGUUGAAACUCAAAGGAAUUGACGGGGACCCGCACAAGCGGUGGAGCAUGUGGUUUAAUUCGAAGCAACGCGAAGAACCUUACCAAAUCUUGACAUCCUUUGACAACUCUAGAGAUAGAGCCUUCCCCUUCGGGGGACAAAGUGACAGGUGGUGCAUGGUUGUCGUCAGCUCGUGUCGUGAGAUGUUGGGUUAAGUCCCGCAACGAGCGCAACCCUUAAGCUUAGUUGCCAUCAUUAAGUUGGGCACUCUAAGUUGACUGCCGGUGACAAACCGGAGGAAGGUGGGGAUGACGUCAAAUCAUCAUGCCCCUUAUGAUUUGGGCUACACACGUGCUACAAUGGACAAUACAAAGGGCAGCGAAACCGCGAGGUCAAGCAAAUCCCAUAAAGUUGUUCUCAGUUCGGAUUGUAGUCUGCAACUCGACUACAUGAAGCUGGAAUCGCUAGUAAUCGUAGAUCAGCAUGCUACGGUGAAUACGUUCCCGGGUCU